GGGAAGGCUGGCGCGGGCGAAGACUUUGUGAAUCCGGUCAGGUCGGAAACGAAGCAGCCGCAGCGAUGCUUUUCGGGUCGUGUCCAGUCUUCCUUCU
rnacentral:SRP_RNA from 2 species